AUGACAAAAAUAAAUGAUUUCAAGCUGAGAAACAUUUUCUCCCACAGGAUAAGGAUAAUUUUAUUCAUGGACAAAAUCCCCUAUAGAGGAGAUCUUAUAAUCACAUCACCUAUUACCAUAAUCAUCAAAUAUAUACAACAUCUAGGUCCAAUUAAUGGAAGAUGGGACCAUAUGGUUGUCAGUUACAGUGACGUGGUAAGAAGAUCAUGCUUUGUGUCUUCAGUCCAAGUGCUUUACAACCAUGAAGCUUCUCAGUACCUUUGCGAACUAGUGCAGAUGAACCUUUGUGGAAAUAUCUCUCCAGAAACAUUCAUUUUUGUGAUGAAAGGCUAUCACCAUAGAAUUUCCAUCACCCAGUGAACCUGCAUACAUAAUAGCCAGAGGUAGAGACUCAUUAUUUUCUUUUCUGCUCUUUGAUCCACUCUAGAAAUUUUGGAAAGUUUAAAUAAUAUGGAAUCAUAUGAAUAUUAUUUAAAUUUAAAUGUUUGUAUUUCUGGGAAGUUUGGGUAAUAUUCAUUUGUGUUCAUUUUGUUAGCAAAGCCAAGAUUUUGUUGAUACAGACAUGUAUUAUGUAAUCUUGAAGGUCUUUUCCCACAAUGUCUCGAGUUAACAAAGUUAAACUGAUGCACAAGUUUAUUAUCUUAUUAUUGUAUAUAGAGAUAACUUAUAAGAUGCUACCUAUUUUUGGUACAAAAACUCAUGCUAAUUUGCUUUGAGUAGAACAUCUGAAUUUAUGAUGGCCUUUAGCCUAUAAAAAACGGAAUGACUAACCUAUUCUUGGAUUUUAUUAUGCAGUAGACAGGACAAUGUUAGUAUAAAACACAUUGUUAAAACUGGACAGAAACAGUCUGAAUAAACUGUUGUAAACCUUCAAUGAAGUGAAGAGGUAACAAUUUCUACAAAGGGAUUGUUCCAUUUUGGGCCAAAAUUAUAGCUCUGCAAGGGUAUAAGAAGUUCACUAGAUGGGAGGCUGCUUGAAUUUGCAACCGUAUAUAUCUUUUUCUUCUGAAAGAAAGAGGCAUUUGUUUCCUGACAUGUUGUCAGGGAAAUUGUUCAUUUUUAUUCUUUAUCUGUCACUCAAAGUUGUCACUACAUUUAGUGGCUAUUUUUCUGCACAUCAUUCCUACCUCUAAUAGUGCUGUCAGCCUAUCUGGUAUUUGUGUGCCAGCAACACAUUUCUUUCUACUUCAAACAGAACUUCUGGAAAGUAACUUCCUCUUUCUGUUAUAAAUCCCAAGAAAGUCAUUGUAAGAAGUUCUAGUCUGCUCAAAUUCCUUUCUGUUCCUUGUUUUUAAUCAAAAUAGGGACUAGUGACAUUUUUCUUGAUUA
rnacentral:lncRNA from 1 species